rnacentral:tRNA from 2 species
GCCAGAGUGGCGGAAUGGCAGACGCGGCGGAUUCAAAAUCCGUAGUCCCUUACGGGGCGUGGGGGUUCAAGUCCCCCCUCUGGCACCA